ACUCACCAUGGCCAUCGCUUGGUUAGCGAACCACCGCAGAAGAAAAUGGGACAGGCAGCCAAGAUCUCUGGUUGCUGUCAAGACCAAUUCCUGAGAUGGUGAAAGAGAAGCCUGCUCGGCCGAACGGUGUCACACUUCAGCCGAGGAAGCUUUCACAGGGAACAAUGAGUCGAGCGUACGGUUCUCCUAGAAGAGAGCAGAGGCAGACUGAUUUGUGAGCAAAAUACAUGAAAGAUCUUCCUUCCAUUCAGCGAGGCUGCGGACACAACUCCCCUAUUCUGCUGUAAUCCUCUCAGCGGCAGCAACAGCAGCAUUGUGACCCCCUAGAUCAAGCAAAACAAGUUGAUGUCCCCACAGCAACAACAACAUCACU